rnacentral:misc_RNA from 1 species
GAUGAAGAACGUAGCAAAAUGCGAUAAGUAAUGUGAAUUGCAGAAUUCAGUGAAUCAUCGAAUCUUUGAACGCACAUUGCGCCCGCUGGUAUUCCGGCGGGCAUGCCUGUUCGAGCGUCAUUUCAACCCUCAAGCCCCCGGGUUUGGUGUUGGGGAUCGGCUCUGCCCUUCUGGGCGGUGCCGCCCCCGAAAUACAUUGGCGGUCUCGCUGCAGCCACCAUUGCGUAGUAGCUAACACCUCGCAACUGGAACGCGGCGCGGCCAUGCCGUAAAACCCCAACUUCUGAAUGUUGACCUCGGAUCAGGUAGGAAUACCCGCUGAACUUAAGCAUAUCAAUAAGCGGAGGA